rnacentral:misc_RNA from 1 species
GUAGGUGAACCUGCGGAAGGAUCAUUAACACGUGAUACUCACGUAUUAAAACCCACCGAGAAUUGUUUAUUAUCCUAUUGUUGGCUGUAGGUAGACGAAGUGAGGGAAUGCUAUGGGCCGCCUUUCUGCAAAGAUUGUACGCCCUAACUCAUUAGUCGUUCUUAGGUCCGCCCUGGAGCUUACACUGACAAAUAGUUGACGAGUUACGACUGCUUAUUAAGCCUGUAGCAUAGCUUGCAGAUCGUAAUGA